ensembl:lncRNA
CUUCAGGCCAAAUCUGUAUUACGAAGACCUGGAGAGAAUGGAGGAGGUGGUCAUGUCAAUUCUGCACAACUUAGAGAUGGAGAACACUGAGAUCCAUGAGAACAGCCAUAAGCUGAAGAAGGAGAUUACCUUCUCUAGAAACCUGCUCAGCCAGCUCCUGAUGGAGAACACAUGUAGGAAGAAGUUGGUCCCACAGAUGCAGGGGAGCAAGGAGGGACAUCUUGAUUGUGCACUGAACCAGAAAUAUUUGGUUGACUUCAACAAGAAAGAUAAAGACCAGCAACGUCCAGAUCCAGCAUCAUCAGGUCUCAGAAAGUGCAAGAGAGCUGGAAUUGGACACACACCAGUAAGAGAGCUUCCUGAGGAAUAAGUUGCUUUCUCAGGAGUCCCUAAUGACAAAUAUCCUGAACGGUAACAACAUUUUUUGGAUGAGUAUUCUUCCUCAGAGUUAAUUUGUCAUUUCUUAGAGACCCUAAAUUUAUAUAACACUAAGCCAGCCUGACUGAUUGAGGUCUUACUCACUUUCUUCUUCAGAAAACACCACUUGAGAGACAACUUGGGGGACCGCCUUUCAUUAUGUGUGCUAGAGGAGAAACAGCAAUACAUCUGUGCUUCUAAAUGUUUGUUAAGAAUAUGCUGUUUAGAAAUAUUUUUGUUAUGAUUUUAAUUGAAGUUUUCUUUUUGUUGUUUCAUAUUUAUAUGUUCUUGUUACUGUUUUUCACUUUCCAAUAUGUUUAAAUAUUUUUAUUCAUUCAUUUUAAUCCUG